AUUGCUUCUCUGCCUUUUGGCUAAGAUCAAGUGUAGUAUCUGUCCUUAUCAGUUUUAUCGGUGGACCAGACACCAUCGAUGUGAGACUGGUGAGGAUGGGUGCUGCAUGGAGGGGGCAGGUAUACCAGGGUAUUCCGGGCUGGUUCUGAUGAAUCAGCUUGAUGGCUGCCCCGAAUCGACCUGUU